UUCAGUCACAGAUCUGUGUCAGUUACGGAGAACAAGGACAGUCCAAGCUGGGGCCUUUUGUGAUGCUUUUGAAAGAUUCGUUGCACCCUCUCACAUCAUGCUGACCAAAGUCCCAGGUACCUGGGCCCACAAGGCGCCUCAAGGAGCAGCAAAAGCCCGGGCCAUCCGUGUCCCCACGCGCGCUGUGAGGACUUGGAGAUUUUCAGAGGCCGCCUGAAUGUACCGCCUUCACCUUGACGGCGUGACGCGGAGUGUGCAGUUCCCUCGUUUGCUUAACACUGUAGUUCACCCAGGAAAUACGCACCCGUUCGUGCCAACGUGUUUCGUGAAAAACUAAAACCCCAUCCUUCCGCAUCUUUCUGCUCACAAGAAUGAUACUCCAAGUCACUGCUUUCUGGAUCACGAGACGCGCUCUGAGUGGGGUGAAGGACGGAGGGGAUGGUGUGCCGAGGGGCCAUCCUGCGGAGGACCAGACAGGAGGCUGGUAUUGGUUAGGAGGAAAAGUACAAAGGCUUGACGCCAGGCUGUGCAGUGGUGAAGAAAGAGGGCUGCGGGCAUCACAGAAGACAAGCAGAUGAAAGUUUCAAGGAGGAAGCUGUAGGCACACUGACGGAGGAUGCAGACAACACCUUGAAUUUGGUGGCUGGCUUGUCUCUGGCCACUCUUGCUACGGCAGCCCCCUGUGAGUGAUUAAGGGAGAAGCAGGGGCCGAGGGGUGACCCGGGGGUGAGUGGAAAGGGCUGCGGUGAUGGCAGCCUGUGGGUUUUCAGCCUGUUUCCCAGGGCGAGUUCCUCCUCUGCUUUUGAUCCAAGGGAUGACACCCGCAGUAAGCGGUUUAAGCCCCGAGAUGAUCCUGUGACUCAGGGUUAAGCGGUCUCUGGUUUAUGGCUGAGCCGGUGAGGACCCGAGAGGCUCCCAGUGGCUAAGCAGCUGGGCUUUAGGGAGAAUCCAAGACUGAAGGCUGAGCCCUUACCGCUUAGGACACAGCUCUCCCGGUGCCCGUUU
rnacentral:lncRNA from 1 species